ensembl:lncRNA
CUGAAACCAUUCCACGGUGCCAAUAAGGACGCGGAUCUCAGGACGUGCAGGACGAGGCAGCGCAGCAAGGACACAGAGUGAAGCACAUUUUAAUGAGGGGACGCAGAUAAAGAGUGAACAGACGCGUAGACAGCGAGAAGAAAAUCAGCAGUAUCCAGUAUUUCAUCGGGCCUACUGUGUGCUGCCAGACCCCCACAGCCAACCAAGAUCUGUGCCCAAAAUUCCUCACUACUGACCAGCCCUUCAUAUUGUGUGCGCAUUUGUGUGUGUGUAUGAAACUGGUUCAAACUCUGUACUGUCCCUGUUCCCGUGCUAUACUGUGAUUUCCCAGAACCUCUAAAUUGACCUAAACAUAAUGGAGUCACUGUGCGUGUAGAUGGCAUAAGGUUUCAGAGCCACACCUGACUGAAAUGCAGAUGGGAGGAGUAUCAGAUGGUUGGAAAUAGAGGAGGAAAAAACGCUUGUACUGUGAGAAUUUGUCAAGAAACAGGGUGGCUGUGAAAUUAGUGUCAGAGUUUCACACUUAGUGGACACAUACCUCCCCCAUUGGCUUGUCUGUGACGGGGUGUAGCAGCUCUGAGACCGUGGGUAUGUGCGAGCUGUCACGUCUGCCUCACUGAGUCAGGCAGCACGACCAGUCAGCAGUAAAUAGUUGUCGGGGCGGGGGUUUUGGGGGGUUGUAUAUUUACCCAGGAUUGCCUUUCUUUAUGUUGCAAUCACAGUUUACAGUUUGCGAUCAGAUAUCUAAACGUGCCUCUGGGAUGAAUAAACGGUGAAUUUAUCAAACUAAAAGAGGUUUCCCCAUCAGAGUGACGAGGUUUACUUCAGACAGAGGUGGGAGGAUUAGGAUCAAACCUGCUCUGAUCAUAAAUAUUGUGACUAACUGGCUGAAGGUUUAAUUCCAAUAAAAAAAAAACACACCCAAAUGCAAAUAAGGAGCUGAUUAUUACUGUAUCCCUUUAAACGAAUUGUGGGGUUGGGCACUCAUGUCAUAAUGAGGAUGUCAAUGUACACUUUAAGCCCUGCAUGACUGUUUAAAAAGGUGUACAUCAUAUAAGAGAUAUCAUAUAUAACCAUAUUUAAUGAAAAAAAAGCUCAGCAUUUAAAAAAUAAUAUUGAUAAAUUCAGCUUUUCAUCUUUAGCCAACCAUGACAAAACAAUUAUACUGCAGGUCUCUGGACACUGAAGUCUGAAGCUCCCUGUCCAUCCAUCAUCGAUCCUACAAAGACAUCACACCCGGAGAAAAUCGUGCCUGCUUUGUGUCACAUCUUGCAUCCUUUUUGCUUCACUUUGUGGGUUUUUGUGUGCAAAUAUUUGCAGUUGUGCAACCCUUAAACAUCAAUUUUUCCCUUCUUCUGCUUUUGUCAAUUUGUAAAGACCCCAAAGGGAAGUAAAACAUCUACCAGUGCAGAUGCCAGUUAUUCAUUCCAUACUUCACUGUUGCCCUUCAAUUGUACCUCAAAAGAAUUACUGUAAUCAUUACUGAUAGGAAAUCUUGCUAAGUGGUUAGAUGGUAUUAUUCCUUUAUGUAUUUUAUCUGAAAGUGCAGUAAAUAUCUCCUCAGUUUCCAGUUUGUCUGGUAACAGUUAAAUGUGAACAUUUAUUAGACUGGCAUGUGAGGAAUGAGCGCUUGCACUUCUCUGCACAGCUACAAUAGAAACUGUCAACGUCCAUCAGCUCCUUCUGCUCCAUUUCACCUGACCUAUUUCUUAACCUGAUUAGCCUAAAAUAAAUACCUUUUUUCUUUCUAAGCAGCUACAGCUCUGUGCCGUCAUGUGACCCUUUAUCUCCCCACUGCAGAAAGGCGGACAGUCCGCAGGGAAAUCAUGAAUUUGACAGACAUGUCUGGGUCGAGCUCUGCAGAUAGGUCGAGGUUGAGCAGCUGUUUUUUUUUUUUUUUUUAAAGUUUGAUUUUUGCUCUUCAAUAUCAGUUAAAACAACAGAUUUAGAGGCAAAUUUGAGAAACUGAAGUUUUUGCUGAUAUGAGAUAUGAGGCUGUCAGCUGUGACGUGCCUACAUCAGACGACCUCUGUGUAAAAUGUCUUUGCUUGUCAAAAGAGAGCUUAUCAUUCGCCCUGGCUGCUGUAGUGCACUGACGUCCUGUUCCAGGAUUAGACGGCGUGGAGGGUGGUGGUGAUGGAGUGGUAAAUAGUGACUGAGUGGUUGGUUGCUGGGCCGCCGUGCCAUUCGGUGAUACUGUCAGCUUACAUUAAGCGGUCGCGCUGGUGAAGCGCAGCAUCAUAAUUCCAUUAAACGGUGACCUGGUGAGGAGACGAUGAACUGUCAGCAGAGCUGCUGUGGCUGUGAUGAGGCGGCUUAAGUGCGAGCUGUGGAAGAAGUGUUGUCACGAUGGUUUAACUCGGCUUACUUCAUAUUUGAGAGAAAGCUCGUGGAAGAUUUGCGUACUUUCCAAUCAGCUCACUUAUAUUUAUGUCUUUCUUCACUUCUUUCUCUCCUCAGGCAUCUCUAUCAUGGGUGUGAAGAUGUUACAGUGCUUUCCCUUCUACAGACGCUGCAAAGAGCGCUGCAAGAGCAGGCAGUGCCCGCCCCCUCCAGUGCCUGUGGAGGAGAUGAAGCCACGUCUGUCCUCUACGACAUCCUGGGGCAGUGACAGCGAAGGAACAGGAAGCAUCAAUCGGGGUUCCCAGAUCUAUUUCUCCACCAAGGCCCGGCUUUCUUUCAGACACCAGCUGGACAGCAACAUCAAUGCAGUGGAUGCCACCUACUGAGGAAGACCCAGGGCUUCAUAGGACUUGAAUGGACUCAGUUUUCCAUCGCCGGUUUAUGCUUGGAGCCCGCUAGUAGAGCAAACACAUUUUGACGCCACCUUUAAAUGGGAAUGGCGGUAGAGUUGCGGAACCACAGUUUGUCUUUUAACUGCUUGUUCCUCGCUGCUCGCACACAACUGCUAAUGAUUCGUCAGAUUCAAAGGACAGAGGGAAAAGGACUGGGAUGAGACGGCGCUCAGAAGUCAGACGAGUAGAUCCGCUGCCCAAUCGGGCAUACUGAUGAGGGCGAGGACAAUGUAGAGAGUUGUUUACAGCGUUCACUACCAAUAAGUGCAUUACUUUGUCUUCUGUUUGGAAGGUGUUUUUUUUUUCUUACUGUGUUUCUUUUAUAUUUCUUUUUUUUUUUUGACUACCUUUGUAGAAAAAGAUCAAUUUGCUGAUUAGAUCAUGGCUGGAGUUAAUUAAGGCUGUUUCACAAAGCAAGAGGAGGAAGAUAGCAUUGAGUGUGAUGAAGUGUGUGACUAUCUAAACCUCAUCAUUAAGUCAUCAUCGUGAAGUAACUUUCUAAUCCUGCUCUGUGACACAGAACCCUGCUAGUUUAAAGUGAGAUAAUAAAACAGAAAAUGGUUUGCUGUUUUAUAAAAGACAUUAACUGUAAAAACAUGAGGUGGGACUGUGUGCAACAUCUGCUGACCAGGUCUGAGCCUGUUUAACAGCAGUGUUGUUAAUAGUUAAUAUUCAUCUGUGAGAUCUACGGUGGCCCUGAUACUUCAGAAAGGCUUGCUGAAAUCCAGUUGUGUUGUGCACCACAGGGCAACCGUAUGAAAUAAGCCGAGCUACACAGCAGCUUAUUUCUGAUAGGUAUUUUCUUAGUCUUGCUUGAUUCUGAUCAAUAUUUUUAAUUAGAAAAAAAGACGCUCUGGCUGUGUUUUUAAAUUGCACGUUUUUUGUUUUUUUUUUUUUUGUAAGAAAACCUUUCUGUAUUUGCCCAAAUUGAAAAACUAUGACUGUUAAAUGCUGAUCAAAAAAAAAAAAAGACUAAUGAUCACUUGUUCAAAUCCAGAGUAUGUCAAAAAUAUCUUCAUUCUAAACUAAGCAAAUAUAAAAUAAGUUGUAACAAAAUGUCUCCGGUGUGUUUUUUUUGGGCUGGGGGAUAUAUUGCUUGACAAUGUUGUGAAGACACAAGGAUACCAAAUAUUGGCAUUUUCUAAAAACUAAAUUCAAAUACUCCAGGAAUGCUACAAACAAGAGGGCUCCUCUCGUGCACGACCAUCUGCAAAAAACGUCACCCAAGAAAACUCGCGGUUCAACACUGGACACUGACCUUAACAAAGCUGCUUCCUAACUCAGAAUAAGCUCAGGCACAUGAGCUCAACUCGACUGGCUGCCUAUUGUUUGUUUUCUGGUUAUAUUACUAUGGAACAGGAAGUUUAC